UACAGAGGUCACAAGCGUUAUCCGGAUUUAUUGGGCGUAAAGCGUUUCGUAGGUUACUUGUUAAGUUGCUCUUCAAAGACCACGGCUCAACCGGGGGAAGGGGAGUAAGACUGGCAGGAUUUGAAUAGUAGUGGGGCAUCUGGAACUGAUGGUGUAGUAGUGAAAUACGUUGAUAUCAUCAGGAACUCCAAGGGCGAAGGCAGGAUGCUAACUAUUUAUUGACACUGAGGAACGACAGCUAGGGG
rnacentral:rRNA from 1 species